GGAGGGAUGCCGGAGCGGACGAACGGGACGGUCUUGAAAACCGUUGAGGCGCGAGUCUCCGUGGGUUCGAAUCCCACUCCCUCCG
rnacentral:tRNA from 1 species